GCGAUGGUGGUGUAGUGGCGAGCAUGGCUGCUUCCCAAGCAGUUGAUCCGGGUUCGAUUCCCGGCUAUCGCA